rnacentral:pre_miRNA from 1 species
ACGUUGUGUGACAUGCCCGUUUCGAUGAUAUACUCUGAUAUUUAUUUAAUAUUUCAUUGUUUUGGGAUAACGGGGUGUUACAAUUGG